GAGCCAGCAGAGAAACACCAGCACCACAGCUCACUGAGCCCCGGCUGAUGGGUCUCAAGGCUCAUACUGUCAUUCCCAGCACCACUGGCAAUUUUUGCUUCUCAGGAGCUCAGGUGGCUUGGAGAAGGGCCGCAGAGCCACCACCGACAGCAGACACUGCGCUUCAGAUGUGGUCCCUGCCAGAGCAAGGCAGGAGACAACCAUGCUGGAGACAACACGAAGCUGAGAAGAGCAAGGAUGGGUUUUGGAAGGACCUUGCAAGUGGCCCACCUUGCCCAGGGGGUGCUGCCUGCCAGCGGGCUCGGGAACAACAAAACCAUCUUCUACAGAGCAGCAUCUGUGGCAGGAUAAAGUACUUCCUAGGAGAGAUGAAGCUUUCCCAAACCAUCCGUAUCUUCACCGAUACCUAAGGUGGCCAAAUAGCACUAAAGAGCCAGCACAGAUAGUGUGUACCCGAAGCUGGGAAGAGUCUUCUGGGCUCUGCUGCUUUUUUUGAACAAACUUGGGGCUGCCAUGUCCAGAUGGCAAAUGGCUCCUUCACAGCAAUAUUCACACCCAGCAGUGAAGAUGACCUAGUUAACUACUAAAUGGUCAGCCUGAUAUAAGACCCAGAAGCCAGGGCUCAUCUGGAAUUAAAUUAAGACAUAAUUAAAGGAUGUAAGUUAUAAUUAAA